rnacentral:rRNA from 1 species
AUUGAACGCUGGCGGCAGGCCUAACACAUGCAAGUCGAGCGGAAGAAGGGAGAUUGCUCCUGGAUUCAGCGGCGGACGGGUGAGUAAUGCCUAGGAAUCUGCCUGGUAGUGGGGGAUAACGUCCGGAAACGGGCGCUAAUACGGCAUACGUCCUGAGGGAGAAAGUGGGGGAGCUUCGGACCUCACGCUAUCAGAUGAGCCUAUGUCGGAUUAGCUAGUUGGUGGGGUAAAGGCCUACCAAGGCGACGAUCCGUAACUGGUCUGAGAGGAUGAUCAGUCACACUGGAACUGAGACACGGUCCAGACUCCUACGGGAGGCAGCAGUGGGGAAUAUUGGACAAAGGGCGAAAGCCUGAUCCAGCCAUGCCGCGUGUGUGAAGAAGGUCUUCGGAUUGUAAAGCACUUUUAGUUGGGAGGAAGGGCAGUAAGUUAAUACCUUGCUGUUUUGACGGUACCAACAGAAUAAGCACCGGCUAACUUCGUG